rnacentral:rRNA from 1 species
GAUGAACGCUGGCGGCGUGCCUAAUACAUGCAAGUCGAGCGAACAGAUGAGGAGCUUGCUCCUCUGACGUUAGCGGCGGACGGGUGAGUAACACGUGGAUAACCUACCUAUAAGACUGGGAUAACUUCGGGAAACCGGAGCUAAUACCGGAUAAUAUAUUGAACCGCAUGGUUCAAUAGUGAAAGACGGUUUUGCUGUCACUUAUAGAUGGAUCCGCGCCGCAUUAGCUAGUUGGUAAGGUAACGGCUUACCAAGGCAACGAUGCGUAGCCGACCUUAGAGGGUGAUCGGCCACACUGGAACUGAGACACGGUCCAGACUCCUACGGGAGGCAGCAGUAGGGAAUCUUCCGCAAUGGGCGAAAGCCUGACGGAGCAACGCCGCGUGAGUGAUGAAGGUCUUCGGAUCGUAAAACUCUGUUAUUAGGGAAGAACAAAUGUGUAAGUAACUAUGCACGUCUUGACGGUACCUAAUCAGAAAGCCACGGCUAACUACGUG